rnacentral:rRNA from 1 species
UACGAAGGGGGCUAGCGUUGUUCGGAAUCACUGGGCGUAAAGCGCACGUAGGCGGAUCUUUAAGUCAGGGGUGAAAUCCCGAGGCUCAACCUCGGAACUGCCUUUGAAACUGGGGAUCUCGAGUCCGGGAGAGGUGAGUGGAACUGCGAGUGUAGAGGUGAAAUUCGUAGAUAUUCGCAAGAACACCAGUGGCGAAGGCGGCUCACUGGCCCGGAACUGACGCUGAGGUGCGAAAGCGUGGGGAGCAAACAGG